GACGAACGCUGGCGGCGUGCCUAAUACAUGCAAGUCGAACGCAGUGGGGACGGGUGAGUAACACGUGGGUAACCUCCCAUCAGAGGGGAUAACACUUGGAAACAGGUGCUAAACCGAUACUGAUGGAUGGACCCGCGGUGCAUUAGCUAGUUGGUGAGGUAACUGCUCACCAAGGCCACGAUGCAUAGCCGCCCUGAGAGGGUGAUCGGCCACACUGGGACUGAGACACGGCCCGGACGCCUACGGGAGGCAGCAGUGGGGAAUCUGCUGCAAUGGCCGAAAGGCUCAACGAGCCCCGCCGCGUGUGUGAAGAAGGUUUUCGGAUCGUAAAACACUGUUGUUAGAGAAGCGGCACCUACCCAGAAAGCCACGGCUAAAUACGUGCCAGCCGCCGCGGUAAUUC
rnacentral:rRNA from 1 species